CUGUAGCUCAGCGGAUAGAGCGACUGCCUUCUAAGCAGUAAGUCGCAGGUUCGAAUCCUGCCAGG
rnacentral:tRNA from 1 species